GACUAUCCACCUUCACAAUCAUCAUCGUUUCCCAUAGCUUCAGAGUUAUCUGCCAAUGAUAGUGUUUCAGUCACAUAGCCACAGAAUAUCACCUGUAGCAAAAACAAAACAAAAAAAUCUAUCAUCUAGAAACAACCAUGGAUAAAUUUGUGAUAAGGACCAGCAGAUUACAAAAAGAGG